GAUAACUUCAUAAAUAAAUUAAGAUGAAGUUUAUGUAAAUCUGAUUUCUUUUUGUUUUUACCCUCACCAUGAAUUUUGAAAUGUGUAGAUGUGUCUUCCUUCAAUGUCAGGUACCCCCAGGAUUUGGUUUUAAUACCAGAAUUGCAGUCCCCCUUUUCAUCUGGGAAAAUCUCAGGUCCCCCCAGUUUCUCACCCAUCCCCCCCCCCACAUCAAUAAUGAAUGCCCCCUUAUUAAUGUAAUUAAAUUCUGUCAAUACAAUUUUCAAUGAUUAUAAAUACUUGUUGUCAUAAAUACUAAAUUACAGUACAGUACGUAUUAUGUAAAUAUAUAAAAUUUAUUAAAAUUUUCAUUUAUUAACAUUUUGUGAUUUCUAUUUCCACACCUAGAGCUCAAAUCACUGUUAGUAAUACUUGACCUCUGAAAAUAUGUUUAAUGUAGUG